rnacentral:rRNA from 1 species
UCCUGGCUGUAAACAAUGCUCGCUAGGUAUUAGGGACCUCUCGGGGGUUCUUAGUGCCGAAGUGAAGGCGCUAAGCGAGCCGCCUGGGGAGUACGGUCGCAAGGCUGAAACUUAAAGGAAUUGGCGGGGGAGCACACAAGGGGUGGAGUCUGCGGUUCAAUUGGACUCAACGCCGGAAACCUUACCAGGGGCGACGGCAGAAUGAAGGUCAGUCUGAAGGGCUUACCUGACAC